UUUGGGGUGGUUAAAAGCAUAGGCAUUAGGGAUCAAAUAAAACCAGGGAUUAAUCUGUUCUCUACCACUAACCAGCUGUGUGGCCUUGGGGAUGCUCCCUAACCAUACUGAAGCCUGUUUCCUCAUCCGCAAAAUAGCAGUAAAAAUAGAAUCUGCCCUGGAGAUUUGUGGCGAGAUUACAGCCUCUAGGACACUUGCGUAGAAUUCCCAGAAUGCAGUCCACACCCAGGAUUUGCUAUCAUUGGUACCAGGAAGCCAGGGUUCCAAGUUCCUAUUCUAGUACCUUCAUUGUCAGGAAACCCUUUAAUUUCUGAUUAAAGAUGCUGCCAAGAUCCCUUUCCCUUCCCUAGACCUCCAGCACACAUACCCUUCUUUCUCCCUCCCUGCAGGCCCAGGCUCUCAGCCUGCUCCCCUCUCCUGAGCCACUUCACUUCCUCCAUGGUGGGAACUGGCUGAUAGGAAUGGAAAGCUAUCUUCCCACCCCACUUUCUGGUGUCCUCCAAAUGUGUCCCAUGAAUUGAAGAAUCCAUUUUUUAGAAAAGGACCAAGAAAAGGAGAAAGAAGAGAAACUGUGAGUUUGGAAUCUCUCCAGCUGCUUGGCAUCUUUGUCCCUGACUCCUGAGCCCCUUCCAGAGGGUCCUGCUGCUGGUUUCACCUGAAGCUGAUUCGGAUCAGCGUCUCUCGGCCUCACUCCAAGCUCCCCAGCCACCUGGGUCUUCUCCUUGUCUGUUCUGAACCCUGGAGAAGCUGCUCUCACUAAGGAGUUGAAGUGGUUGAGUGCCUGGGGGAAUGAGUCCUCCCUGCUCUUCCUUUUCAAAAGUGUGCUGAGCAAUCUGCAGAUCUUUCUUGCCCCAUAUAAACUACAGAAAAAGACUGUUCAAAUUCUUGACAAAUCCCUGUUGGAAUCUUGCGAAGGUUGGUAUGAAUUUGUGGUUUAUACAAUUGCAGGUUUCCAUGUACUCGUGUGAUGGUUUGAUGGGGUCUUAUCUUCUAUAGUGGACUGAGCCCAGGAGGGCCGGGGAUGUGUCUGCUUCCUACAUCCUUGGCUCCCCAGCAUUCACGCAGCAUGUGGGUUGCAGAAGUAGCUUGACGAUUUGUUGCUGAA
rnacentral:lncRNA from 13 species